GUGCCAGCAGCCGCGGUAAUACGUAGGGGGCAAGCGUUGUCCGGAAUCACUGGGCGUAAAGCGCGCGCAGGCGGCUAUUUACGUCUGGGGUGAAAGCCCGAGGCUCAACCUCGGAAUUGCCUUGGAAACGGAAUAGCUUGAGGGUCAGAGAGGCAAGGGGAAUUCCACGUGUAGCGGUGAAAUGCGUAGAUAUGUGGAGGAACACCAGUGGCGAAGGCGCCUUGCUGGCUGAUACCUGACGCUGAGGCGCGAAAGCGUGGGGAGCAAACAGGAUUAGAUACCCUGGUAGUCCACGCCGUAAACGAUGAGUGCUAGGUGUUAGGGGGUACCACCCCUAGUGCCGAAGCUAACGCAUUAAGCACUCCGCCUGGGGAGUACGGUCGCAAGACUGAA
rnacentral:rRNA from 1 species